rnacentral:rRNA from 1 species
UACGGAGGGGGCUAGCGUUGUUCGGAAUUACUGGGCGUAAAGCGCACGUAGGCGGACGGACAAGUCAGAGGUGAAAUCCCAGGGCUCAACCCUGGAACUGCCUUUGAAACUGUGCGUCUUGAGGUCGAGAGAGGUGAGUGGAAUUCCGAGUGUAGAGGUGAAAUUCGUAGAUAUUCGGAGGAACACCAGUGGCGAAGGCGGCUCACUGGUCCGGUACUGACGCUGAGGUGCGAAAGCGUGGGGAGCAAACAGG